CUGCCUGUGGCCUAGUGAGUAAGGUUACAGUCUUGCAAACAUGGGGUCGUUAGUUCAAGCCCAGCUAGGAACA
rnacentral:tRNA from 1 species